GGGUUGUGAGGUUAAGCGACUAAGCGUACACGGUGGAUGCCCUGGCAGUCAGAGGCGAUGAAGGGCGUGCUAAUCUGCGAUAAGCGCCGGUAAGGUGAUAUGAACCGUUAUAACCGGCGAUACCCGAAUGGGGAAACCCAGUGUGAUUCGUCACACUAUCAUUAACUGAAUCCAUAGGUUAAUGAGGCGAACCGGGGGAACUGAAACAUCUAAGUACCCCGAGGAAAAGAAAUCAACCGAGAUUCCCCCAGUAGCGGCGAGCGAACGGGGAGGAGCCCAGAGCCUGAAUCAGCAUGUGUGUUAGUGGAAGCGUCUGGAAAGGCGCGCGAUACAGGGUGACAGCCCCGUACACAAAAGCGCAUGUGCUGUGAGCUCGAUGAGUAGGGCGGGACACGUGGUAUCCUGUCUGAAUAUGGGGGGACCAUCCUCCAAGGCUAAAUACUCCUGACUGACCGAUAGUGAACCAGUACCGUGAGGGAAAGGCGAAAAGAACCCCGGCGAGGGGAGUGAAAAAGAACCUGAAACCGUGUACGUACAAGCAGUGGGAGCCCCACCACUAAGCCAGUGGUGAACUCCACAUACGCAUCCUUUGCUGAGGAUACGGUUAACGGAGCGAAAGCGACGUUCAACCUCAAAAGAAGCAGAGGGGGCUUAGUGGUGGGGUGACUGCGUACCUUUUGUAUAAUGGGUCAGCGACUUAUAUUCUGUAGCAAGGUUAACCGUAUAGGGGAGCCGGAGGGAAACCGAGUCUUAAUUGGGCGUUAAGUUGCAGGGUAUAGACCCGAAACCCGGUGAUCUAGCCAUGGGCAGGUUGAAGGUUGGGUAACACUAACUGGAGGACCGAACCGACUAAUGUUGAAAAAUUAGCGGAUGACCUGUGGCUGGGGGUGAAAGGCCAAUCAAACCGGGAGAUAGCUGGUUCUCCCCGAAAGCUAUUUAGGUAGCGCCUCGUGAAUUCAUCUCCGGGGGUAGAGCACUGUUUCGGCUAGGGGGCCAUCCCGGCUUACCAACCCGAUGCAAACUGCGAAUACCGGAGAAUGUUAUCACGGGAGACACACGGCGGGUGCUAACGUCCGUCGUGAAGAGGGAAACAACCCAGACCGCCAGCUAAGGUCCCAAAGUCAUGGUUAAGUGGGAAACGAUGUGGGAAGGCCCAGACAGCCAGGAUGUUGGCUUAGAAGCAGCCAUCAUUUAAAGAAAGCGUAAUAGCUCACUGGUCGAGUCGGCCUGCGCGGAAGAUGUAACGGGGCUAAACCAUGCACCGAAGCUGCGGCAGCGACACUGUGUGUUGUUGGGUAGGGGAGCGUUCUGUAAGCCUGUGAAGGUGUGUCGUGAGGCAUGCUGGAGGUAUCAGAAGUGCGAAUGCUGACAUAAGUAACGAUAAAGCGGGUGAAAAGCCCGCUCGCCGGAAGACCAAGGGUUCCUGUCCAACGUUAAUCGGGGCAGGGUGAGUCGACCCCUAAGGCGAGGCCGAAAGGCGUAGUCGAUGGGAAACGGGUUAAUAUUCCCGUACUUGGUGUUACUGCGAAGGGGGGACGGAGAAGGCUAUGUUGGCCGGGCGACGGUUGUCCCGGUUUAAGCGUGUAGGUGUGUGUUCCAGGUAAAUCCGGUUCACUUUAACACUGAGGCGUGAUGACGAGGCACUACGGUGCUGAAGCAACAAAUGCCCUGCUUCCAGGAAAAGCCUCUAAGCAUCAGGUAACAUCAAAUCGUACCCCAAACCGACACAGGUGGUCAGGUAGAGAAUACCAAGGCGCUUGAGAGAACUCGGGUGAAGGAACUAGGCAAAAUGGUGCCGUAACUUCGGGAGAAGGCACGCUGACACGUAGGUGAAGUGAUUUACUCAUGGAGCUGAAGUCAGUCGAAGAUACCAGCUGGCUGCAACUGUUUAUUAAAAACACAGCACUGUGCAAACACGAAAGUGGACGUAUACGGUGUGACGCCUGCCCGGUGCCGGAAGGUUAAUUGAUGGGGUCAGCGCAAGCGAAGCUCCUGAUCGAAGCCCCGGUAAACGGCGGCCGUAACUAUAACGGUCCUAAGGUAGCGAAAUUCCUUGUCGGGUAAGUUCCGACCUGCACGAAUGGCGUAAUGAUGGCCAGGCUGUCUCCACCCGAGACUCAGUGAAAUUGAACUCGCUGUGAAGAUGCAGUGUACCCGCGGCAAGACGGAAAGACCCCGUGAACCUUUACUAUAGCUUGACACUGAACAUUGAGCCUUGAUGUGUAGGAUAGGUGGGAGGCUUUGAAGCGUGGACGCCAGUCUGCGUGGAGCCGACCUUGAAAUACCACCCUUUAAUGUUUGAUGUUCUAACGUGGACCCGUUACCCGGGUUGCGGACAGUGUCUGGUGGGUAGUUUGACUGGGGCGGUCUCCUCCUAAAGAGUAACGGAGGAGCACGAAGGUUGGCUAAUCCUGGUCGGACAUCAGGAGGUUAGUGCAAUGGCAUAAGCCAGCUUGACUGCGAGCGUGACGGCGCGAGCAGGUGCGAAAGCAGGUCAUAGUGAUCCGGUGGUUCUGAAUGGAAGGGCCAUCGCUCAACGGAUAAAAGGUACUCCGGGGAUAACAGGCUGAUACCGCCCAAGAGUUCAUAUCGACGGCGGUGUUUGGCACCUCGAUGUCGGCUCAUCACAUCCUGGGGCUGAAGUAGGUCCCAAGGGUAUGGCUGUUCGCCAUUUAAAGUGGUACGCGAGCUGGGUUUAGAACGUCGUGAGACAGUUCGGUCCCUAUCUGCCGUGGGCGCUGGAGAACUGAGGGGGGCUGCUCCUAGUACGAGAGGACCGGAGUGGACGCAUCACUGGUGUUCGGGUUGUCAUGCCAAUGGCACUGCCCGGUAGCUAAAUGCGGAAGAGAUAAGUGCUGAAAGCAUCUAAGCACGAAACUUGCCCCGAGAUGAGUUCUCCCUGAGACUUUAGGUCUCCUGAAGGAACGUUGAAGACGACGACGUUGAUAGGCCGGGUGUGUAAGCGCAGCGAUGCGUUGAGCUAACCGGUACUAAUGAACCGUGAGGCUUAACCUUACAACGCCGAAG
rnacentral:rRNA from 1 species